GGCGGUAUAGCUCAGUGGUAGAGCGUGUGCUUAGCAUGCAUGAGGUCCAGGGUUCAACCUCCAGCACUUCCA
rnacentral:tRNA from 1 species